rnacentral:rRNA from 1 species
CCUACGGGAGGCAGCAGUGGGGGAUAUUGCGCAAUGGGGGCAACCCUGACGCAGCAACGCCGCGUGAAGGAUGAAGGUUUUCGGAUUGUAAACUUCUUUUAUUAAGGACGAAUAAUGACGGUACUCAAUGAAUAAGCUCCGGCUAACUACGUGCCAGCAGCCGCGGUAAU